CGAAAGUCUGAUGGAGCAACGCCGCGUGAAUGAAGAAGGGUUUCGGCUCGUAAAACUCUGUUGUUAAAGAAGAACAUAUGUGAGAGUAACUGUUCAGGCAUUGACGGUAUUUAACCAGAAAGCCACGGCUAACUACGUGCCAGCAGCCGCGGUAAUACGUAGGUGGCAAGCGUUGUCCGGAUUUAUUGGGCGUAAAGCGAGCGCAGGCGGUCUUUUAAGUCUGAUGUGAAAGCCUUCGGCUCAACCGAAGAAGUGCAUCGGAAACUGGGAGACUUGAGUGCAGAAGAGGACAGUGGAACUCCAUGUGUAGCGGUGAAAUGCGUAGAUAUAUGGAAGAACACCAGUGGCGAAGGCGGCUGUCUGGUCUGUAACUGACGCUGAGGCUCGAAAGCAUGGGUAGCGAACAGGAUUAGAUACCCUGGUAGUCCAUACCGUAAACGAUGAAUGCUAAGUGUUGGAGGGUUUCCGCCCUUCAGUGCUGCAGCUAACGCAUUAAGCAUUCCGCCUGGGGAGUACGGCCGCAAGGCUGAAACUCAAAGGAAUUGACGGGGGCCCGCACAAGCGGUGGAGCAUGUGGUUUAAUUCGAAGCUACGCGAAGAACCUUACCAGGUCUUGACAUACUAUGCCAAUCUAAGAGAUUAGACGUUCCCUUCGGGGACAUGGAUACAGGUGGUGCAUGGUUGUCGUCAGCUCGUGUCGUGAGAUGUUGGGUUAAGUCCCGCAACGAGCGCAACCCUUAUUAUCAGUUGCCAGCAUUCAGUUGGGCACUCUAGUGAGACUGCCGGUGACAAACCGGAGGAAGGUGGGGAUGACGUCAAAUCAUCAUGCCCCUUAUGACCUGGGCUACACACGUGCUACAAUGGAUGGUACAACGAGUUGCGAACUCGCGAGAGUAAGCUAAUCUCUUAAAGCCAUUCUCAGUUCGGAUUGUAGGCUGCAACUCGCCUACAUGAAGUCGGAAUCGCUAGUAAUCGCGGAUCAGCAUGCCGCGGUGAAUACGUUCCCGGGCCUUGUACACACCGCCCGUCACACCAUGAGAGUUUGUAACACCCAAAGUCGGUGGGGUAACCUUUUAGGAAGCCUAGCCCGCCU
rnacentral:rRNA from 1 species